AUGGAGUCACAGACCCAGGUUCUCAUGUUCCUGCUGCUCUGGGUGUCUGGUGCCUGUGCAGAUAUCCUGAUGACCCAGUCUCCAUCUUCCCUGGCUGUGUUAGCAGGAGAGAAGGUCACCAUCAACUGCAAGUCCAGUCAGAGUCUUUUAUACAGUAAAGACCAGAAGAAUUAUUUGUCCUGGUACCAGCAGAAACCAGGGCAGUCUCCUAAACGUCUGAUCUACUAUGCAUCCACUCGGGACACUGGGGUCCCUGAUCGCUUCACAGGCAGUGGGUCUGGGACAGAUUUCACUCUCACCAUCAGCAGUGUCCAGGCUGAAGACCUGGCAGAUUACUACUGUAUGCAGCAUUAUUACCCUCUUCCCACAAUGAAAUACGACUUCCCUGGGCGUCAUUCCACAGUGGUACCCAUGGAAGAGGGUGCUGUGUUCCAUGAGCUCAAGGUCAUCAACAUCAGACUUCCUGGAUAA